AUAAAUUUUAGUUUAACAAAAUGCGUAACGAACUCGUAAAUGUCCACAAGAAAACUAGAAUUAUUUUUGCAAUAUUUUUUUCCUUCUCCUCUAAAAAGAAGGUGGCAUGUUAAACAUACAUUACCCAAAGUUUUUUACCCGAAUUUGAAGCACUUCGUGUUACAAGUUGUG